rnacentral:rRNA from 1 species
GAGUUUGAUCUUGGCUCAGAACGAACGCUGGCGGCAGGCUUAACACAUGCAAGUCGAACGCGUGUAGCAAUACACGAGUGGCGCACGGGUGAGUAACGCGUGGAUAUCUGCCUUUUGGUUCGGAAUAACCUUGGGAAACCGAGGCUAAUACCGGAUGGUUCCUACGGGAUAAAGAUUUAUCGCCAAAAGAUGAGUCCGCGUCCGAUUAGCUAGUUGGUGAGGUAACGGCUCACCAAGGCGACGAUCGGUAGCUGGUCUGAGAGGACGAUCAGCCACACUGGGACUGAGACACGGCCCAGACUCCUACAGGAGGCAGCAGUGGGGAAUAUUGGACAAUGGGGGCAACCCUGAUCCAGCCAUGCCGCGUGAGUGAUGAAGG